GACAGAGGGUGCAAACGUGCUCGGAAUUACUGGGCGUAAAGCGCGUGUAGGUGGAUUGGUGUGUCAGAUGUGAAAGCCCUGGGCUCAACCCAGGAACUGCACCUGAAACUACCAGUCUUGAGUGGUGGAGAGGGAAGUGGAAUUCCUGGUGUAGAGGUGAAAUUCGUAGAUAUCGAGAGGAACACCUGCGGCGAAGGCGGGUUGCUGGGCUGACACUGACGCUGACAGCGCGAAAGCUAGGGGAGCGAAGCGGG
rnacentral:rRNA from 1 species